rnacentral:rRNA from 1 species
GACGAACGCUGGCGGCGUGCUUAAAACAUGCAAGUCGAACGAAGUGGCGAACGGGUGAGUAACGCGUAAUCAACCUGCCCUUCAGAGGGGGACAACAGUGGGAAACGAAUGCUAAUACCGCAUACUGAAGGCGGGGAUUGCGUCUGAUUAGCUUGUUGGAGGGGUAACGGCCAACCAAGGCGAUGAUCAGUAGCCGGUCUGAGAGGAUGAACGGCCACAUUGGGACGGAGACACGGCCCAGACUCCGACGGGAGGCAGCCGUGGGGAAUCUUCCGCAAUGGACGAAAGUCUGACGGAGCAACGCCGCGUGAGUGAUGACGGCCUUCGGGUUGUAAAGCUCUGUUAAUCGGGACGCGGUACCGGAAUAGAAAGCCACGGCUAACUACGUGCCAGCAGCCGCGGUAAUUC